AGUCUUUAGCCUUUACGAACCAAGAGUUAUGAAGCAAGACAUGCAGACACCCCUCUUAACAACUGCUUUGUGAGCCAUCAGCCUAUUCCUGCUUUUCAGUGCUUCUAGCCAAUUUUUGAAACAACAGAUGUGACAGACAAGUGCUAGAGAAAAAUAUUAGAGUCACACAUCCACCAGGGAAGACCCUCAAAACCAGGAAGACCCUGGUUCAUUUUGAAGCUGACUUUGGGUCUUCCUUCAGAUGUGUGUGAUUAUUAUUUUUUCUGGAUUCAGAUAACAGAAGAGAAUGCAUGGUUCAUUCUGAAGCUGUCCCCCACCCUUCUUUUCUUGCAGAGUUGUGAUUGCUGCCCAGUGAAAACAACUGCUACUGCAAGGCAGAAGAAUCAGAAAGGGAAACAAAAACCAGGAGAUGUCUCCAUGAGAGGUUGCUGCAACCCAACAGAGAGGACAGAUCUGUGAGAGAUCAGAAUCUUGUAGGUAACACUAGCCAAUCCCUACCAACUUCACUGUUAACAAGCCGAACCAAUCCAUAACAGCUUGAGUCUACAGCUUCCCUAAACACCCAGAACACACUUAAUAUGAAUGGAUGCCAGGUUGCAGCCUCAUCUGCACUUCUUGGCAACAUGUUAUGCACCCCAGCAAUGUGUAUCAAUGAACAUGCAUAUUUGGAACAG